rnacentral:rRNA from 1 species
UACGUAGGGUGCAAGCGUUGUCCGGAAUUAUUGGGCGUAAAGAGCUUGUAGGCGGUUUGUCGCGUCUGCUGUGAAAUUUCGGGGCUCAACCCCGAACUUGCAGUGGGUACGGGCAGACUAGAGUGUGGUAGGGGAGACUGGAAUUCCUGGUGUAGCGGUGAAAUGCGCAGAUAUCAGGAGGAACACCGAUAGCGAAGGCAGGUCUCUGGGCCAUAACUGACGCUGAGAAGCGAAAGCAUGGGGAGCGAACAGG